rnacentral:rRNA from 1 species
AGUGAACGCUGGCGGCAUGCCUAACACAUGCAAGUUGAGCGAGAUUUUGCAGAGUAUCGCAGAAUUUAGCGGCGAACGGGUGAGUAACACGUAGGGAACCUCCCUCAAAAUGGGGAAUAUCUCCGAGAAAUCGGAGUCAAUACCGCAUAAGACCACAGUUUGGCAUCAAACAGGGGUUAAAGCAGCAAUGCGUUUUGAGAUGGUCCUGCGGCCUAUCAGCUAGUUGGUGGGGUAAAGGCCUACCAAGGCUAUGACGGGUAUCCGGCCUGAAAGGGUGAACGGACACACUGGAACUGAGACACGGUCCAGACUCCUACGGGAGGCAGCAGUGGGGAAUUUUGGACAAUGGGGGAAACCCUGAUCCAGCGAUGCCGCGUGGAGGACGAAGGCCUUCGGGUUGUAAACUCCUUUUAGAGGGGACGAAUAAAAUGACGGUACCCUCAGAAAAAGCCACGGCUAACUACGUGCCAGCAGCCGCGGUAAUACGUAGGUGGCGAGCGUUACUUGGAAUUACUAGGCGUAAAGGGUAUGUAGGCGGUCAUAUAAGUCUUUAGUGAAAUUUUUCGGCUCAACCGAAAAGGGUCUAAGGAUACUGUUUGACUUGAGUGUGGGAGAGGGAGACGGAAUUCCUGGUGUAGCGGUGAAAUGCGUAGAUAUCAGGAGGAACACCGAUGGCGAAAGCAGUCUCCUGGACCAAUACUGACGCUGAUGUACGAAAGCUAGGGUAGCAAACAGGAUUAGAUACCCUGCUAGUCCUAGCUGUAAACGAUGUUCACUAGAUGUGGGAGGUAUCGACCCCUUCCGCGUCGGCGCUAACGCAUUAAGUGAACCGCCUGGGGAGUACGGCCGCAAGGUUGAAACUCAAAGGAAUUGACGGGGGGCUCGCACAAGCGGUGGGAGUAUGUGGUUUAAUUCGACGCAACGCGAAAAACCUUUACCUGGGCUUGAACUGCCUAAUGGUAAAAGCCGGAAACGGGUAAUGACCCCGCAAGGGAGUUAGUAGAGGUGCUUCUUGCUUGUCAUCAGCUCGUGUCGUGAAGAGGGGGGGUUGGGGGCCGCAACUGUGCCUCAUCCCUUAUGCCUUGUUACCUGUGGCAAUACAGGGUUUUUGAGGAAACUGCCAUUAAUAAAAUAGAGGAAGGUGAGGACGACGUCAAGUCAUCAUGGCCUUUAUGUUCAGGGAAACACACGUAUUACAAUGGCCGGUACAAAGGGCAGUGAUAUUGUAAAAUGGAGCAAAUCCUUAAAGCCGACCCCAGUUCAGAUUGUGGGCUGCAAUUUGUCCACAUGAAGUAGGAAUCGUUAGUAAUCGCAGAUCAGCAGGCUGCGGUGAAUACGUUCCCGGGCCUUGUACACACUGCCCGUCACACUACGAAAGUCAGUUAUAACAGAAGUCAUUGAGCUAACCGCAAGGAGGCAAAUGCUUAAGUUAUGGUUGGUGAUUGGAGUG